rnacentral:lncRNA from 1 species
CAAAACAGCAGUAACAGUGUUUUAGAAAGUACCUGUUCUACUGAGGAUCUCAAAGUUUACAUCUACCUUUAUUCUUCUGCUAAACAAACAAAAAUAUCCCAACUUGGAUGAAGGAGGUCUUUCAGAUACACAUAAAAGAGUCAGAGAAUCGCUAGAAACCGGCAAACUCCAGGCUUCCAAGCCCUCGGGCUUCUGGCCGGACCCGGCAGAUGAAGCAGCACGGGGCAGCCACUGCCUCCAAGCCGGCGACGCCAAGGGGACCGCAGCCCUAAAACGUCACCGAGGGCACGGACGAGGAGCUACACAAAGCCCUGGGUUCCCCCCGCCCGGCUGUACUGUCACCCGGAGUUUCUUUCGCGGGCACUAAUUUCUAGGCACUUUGGGGAAAGAAGCAGCUGUCAAAACCGCGCGAGUCACCAGUGCGGGCGCGAGGUGACUGAGGGGGCGCGGAGGAAGGGAGGCACCGAGGGCUUGGGCUCCAGCUCCGCCGUUUUCUUUGUUCCCCUAUUCUCCGCCCGGGAUUUCCGUGGCUGUCC